rnacentral:rRNA from 1 species
UCUUACCUACGGGGGGCAGCAGUGAGGAAUAUUGGUCAAUGGCCGAGAGGCUGAACCAGCCAAGUCGCGUGAGGGAUGACGGCCCUACGGGUUGUAAACCUCUUUUGCCGGGGAGCAAAGAGCGGGACGCGUCCCGCCUCGAGAGUACCCGGAGAAAAAGCAUCGGCUAACUCCGUGCCAGCAGCCGCGGUAAUACGUAGGUGGCAAGCGUUGUCCGGAUUUAUUGGGCGUAAAGCGAGUGCAGGCGGUUCAAUAAGUCUGAUGUGAAAGCCUU